GUGGGGAAUAUUGGACAAUGGGCGAAAGCCUGAUCCAGCCAUGUCGCGUGUGUGAAGAAGGUCUUCGGAUUGUAAAGCACUUUAAGUUGGGAGGAAGGGCAGUAAGUUAAUACCUUGCUGUUUUGACGUUACCGACAGAAUAAGCACCGGCUAACUUCGUGCCAGCAGCCGCGGUAAUACGAAGGGUGCAAGCGUUAAUCGGAAUUACUGGGCGUAAAGCGCGCGUAGGUGGUUUUGUAAGUUGGAGGUGAAAUCCCCGGGCUCAACCUGGGAACUGCCUCCAAAACUGCAUGACUAGAGUACGGUAGAGGGUAGUGGAAUUUCCUGUGUAGCGGUGAAAUGCGUAGAUAUAGGAAGGAACACCAGUGGCGAAGGCGACUACCUGGACUGAUACUGACACUGAGGUGCGAAAGCGUGGGGAGCAAACAGGAUUAGAAACCCGGGUAGUCC
rnacentral:rRNA from 1 species